UUCCUCAUCAAAAUGGACAAAAUCUGUGGAGGAACGCAAUUAGGCAUCUUUUAGUUUUUUGUAUAUAAUUCAGUUCCAUUAACAUUUAUUAAUUCCAUUUGCAAGGUAGCCACUAGAAAAAAUAAUACUAAAAUAAUAAUAUUUCUUUGAAAAAUCGUUUUAUCCAUUGAUAUCAGCAUGUCAGAUAAUUAUUAAUUACUGGUUCCAAAAGGAAUACUAUGUGUUUGGAUAACUACAGACCUAGUGGUGUAUAUUCCUUAGCAACCUCCAACUGGACACAGAACAUCAUGGAAAGAUACCUGGAAAAAUUGGGAAUCGUAUGUAAUUCUGAUCGGUCAAUACCUUCCACUUAAAAAAA